rnacentral:rRNA from 1 species
AUAUCAAUAAGCGGAGGAAAAGAAACCAACUGGGAUUACCUUAGUAACGGCGAGUGAAGCGGUAAAAGCUCAAAUUUGAAAUCUGGUACUUUCAGUGCCCGAGUUGUAAUUUGUAGAAUUUGUCUUUGAUUAGGUCCUUGUCUAUGUUCCUUGGAACAGGACGUCAUAGAGGGUGAGAAUCCCGUUUGGCGAGGAUACCUUUUCUCUGUAAGACUUUUUCGAAGAGUCGAGUUGUUUGGGAAUGCAGCUCAAAGUGGGUGGUAAAUUCCAUCUAAAGCUAAAUAUUGGCGAGAGACCGAUAGCGAACAAGUACCGUGAGG